UACGUAGGGGGCUAGCGUUGUCCGGAAUCAUUGGGCGUAAAGAGCGUGUAGGCGGCCCGGUAAGUCCGCUGUGAAAGUCGGGGGCUCAACCCUCGAAAGCCGGUGGAUACUGUCGGGCUAGAGUGCGGAAGAGGCGAGUGGAAUUCCUGGUGUAGCGGUGAAAUGCGCAGAUAUCAGGAGGAACACCGAUUGCGAAGGCAGCUCGCUGGGACGUAACUGACGCUGAGACGCGAAAGCGUGGGGAGCGAACCGG
rnacentral:rRNA from 1 species